rnacentral:lncRNA from 1 species
CUGGGGAUAAAAUUGGGAUAACUCUAAAAUAAUGAUGGCUAGGAAAUUCCAGUAUAACAAGGGCAAUGAUUUCCAAUGCUUAUGAGUGCUGCUGGUUAUUGAAUGUCAAUCAGUUCAGAGCUGCAGGUCAAGUAUGGAUUCUGAGUUGGGAUCCAAACUUUAACUAUUUUGAGUGUACAUCUUAUAAAAUUUGAUUUGGCAUGCCCAACGGUCAGG